AUCAAGCUGACGAGUCCUAAAAUGGGACGAGAUGCGCGUCCUUGAU
rnacentral:hammerhead_ribozyme from 1 species